rnacentral:piRNA from 2 species
UAUCUGAUACGUCCUCUAUCCGA